rnacentral:lncRNA from 1 species
GUCUCAAAAAAAAAAAAAAAAAAGUUAGAUGAAGGCACCAGCUUUGUGCACAGAAGAGUAGCCAGUGAGGUAGGAGGAAAACCAGGAAAAUAUACUCAGGAGUCAAGAGCAGACAAUGUUUCAAGAAGUCCUAACAGCAUUAGGCAUACACACACACACACAAAAUCAAAGCUACAAUACUACGGUAUUCAAUAGAACCAUAUGCCUCAGAUAUAACUCAAUCCCUUUAUCCCAAAAUUUAAUUCCACUUCUUACAGUCCCAACCUGAUGAAUGGCAUCACCCAGUCACCUAAUCCUUCUCCUUCACCCGUAUCAAUACACCAUUAAAUCCAAAAGAUUCAACUCAUUUUAUAUCUUUUAUUUCUUAUCUGUUCUUUCCUCCAUAUGGCUUCCAACUAAAUUCAGGUCUUCAUCUCUCAGCAGGAUAUUGAAAUAAUCCCUUAUUUGUACCCCUGCCCCUUGGCUUAGUCUGGUACAACCCAUCUUCUACCUUGGUGCCAGAUAAAAAUGUCCAAAGUAUGUAUUUGAUUAUAUUACUUUCUCUGUUAAAAUUCCUCAGGACCUAAAGUGCUGGUUUCUAGGCUUUGGGAUUUCAUCGCUCAGUAACUCCCCCUUCAAAAAACCGAAAACAAAAAAAAAAAUGUACUGCUAUCUCUAACAGAGCACACCUCUCAUUUUGAGUUGUGAUUCCUAUCUGCCUUCUAGACUGGACUUUCUUGAGGGAUGACCUAAGUCUUCAUUCACUCAUGCAUUCAACAAAAUUUAUUCAGGACUUAUGAUGGGCCAAGAACCAUGCUAGAUUCUGAGAGUAUGAAA